AACGAACGCUGGCGGCGCGCCUAAUACAUGCAAGUCGAGCGAGAAGGUGUAGCAAUACACUUGUAAAGCGGCGAACGGGUGAGGAAUGCAUGGGUAACCUACCCUCGAGUGGGGAAUAACUAGCCGAAAGGUUAGCUAAUACCGCAUACGUUUCCGGAACUUCGGUUUCGGAAAGAAAGCAAUACCGUGGGUAUUGCGCUCCUGGAUGGGCUCAUGUCCUAUCAGCUUGUUGGUGAGGUAACGGCUCACCAAGGCUUCGACGGGGUAGCUGGUCUGAGAGGACGAUCAGCCACACUGGCACUGCGACACGGGCCAGACUCCUACGGGAGGCAGCAGUAAGGAAUAUUGCGCAAUGGACGAAAGUCUGACGCAGCGACGCCGCGUGGGGGAGUGAAGGUCUUCGGAUUGUAAA
rnacentral:rRNA from 1 species